UACGGGGGGGGCAAGCGUUGUUCGGAAUUACUGGGCGUAAAGGGCUCGUAGGUGGCCAACUAAGUCAGACGUGAAAUCCCUCGGCUUAACCGGGGAACUGCGUCUGAUACUGGAUGGCUUGAGUUCGGGAGAGGGAUGCGGAAUUCCAGGUGUAGCGGUGAAAUUCGUAGAUAUCGGGAGGAACACCAGUGGCGAAGGCGGCGAUCUGGGUAGAUACUGACGCUGAGGUGCGAAAGCGUGGGGAGCAAACAGG
rnacentral:rRNA from 1 species